UACGAAGGGGGCUAGCGUUGCUCGGAAUCACUGGGCGUAAAGGGUGCGUAGGCGGGUCUUUAAGUCAGGGGUGAAAUCCUGGAGCUCAACUCCAGAACUGCCUUUGAUACUGACGAUCUUGAGUCCGGGAGAGGUGAGUGGAACUGCGAGUGUAGAGGUGAAAUUCGUAGAUAUUCGCAAGAACACCAGUGGCGAAGGCGGCUCACUGGCCCGGUACUGACGCUGAGGUGCGAAAGCGUGGGGAGCAAACAGG
rnacentral:rRNA from 1 species